AUUUAAUCGUUUCGGAUCAAGAAUCCUUUGCUGCUGCCUGUGUUGCACAUAUAAUUCCAUCAGAGCUUGAAUUUUCUGCUUAUUUAUGCUGAGAUCAGGUUCUGCGAGAACUUCACUUAGAGUAAUAUUGCCCUUCACAGCUUUUUUGUAGCUGUUGACCUUGCAACCACAGGUAAACCCUCUUGAUAAUACCAGUCCAUAAAGUCUACUUCAUUCUCCUGUACGGUUUUGAUUCAUAUUUUUAGUUAGCAUUACAUAAAUAUCUUGUAGUAAUAAUUCUGCUGCACCAGGUUUGCAAUGCAUAGUUCCAUCAAUUAAUUCUUUGGAAAUAUUCAAGUUUCUUUUCAAGAGAAACUUUUCUAACUGGGACCAGUUGCUUAAUUUGGUAGCCAGGGAAGUUCCAUUUUCGUAGGAAUGUAAUGUGAUAUCUUCUGGGUAAUACCAAU